CUAACAAGGAUUCCCUUGGUAACGGCGAGUGACCAGGGAAAAGCCCAGCACCGAAGACUGUGGCCAGUUGGCUACUAGUCAAUGUGGUGUUUAGGUUGUUCCGGCGGAGUCACUGCUCCACCCUAAGUCCAUGAAUGAGUAUGGUAAAUGGACAUGGCCCACAGAGGGUGACAGGCCCGUGGGGGUGGAGGUCAGGCAGGCCAGUGACGCCCUGGAUAGACCUUGGAGUCGGGUUGUUUGUGAUUGCAGCCCAAAGUGGGUGGUAAACUCCAUCCAAGGCUAAAUACCAGCACGAGUCCGAUAGCAAACAAGUACCGUGAGGGAAAGUUGAAAAGUACUUUGAAGAGAGAGUAAACAGUGCGUGAAACCGAUCAGAGGUAAACGGGUGGAGUUGAACUGCAAGCUCUGAGAAUUCAGCUGGUGAGUGUGGUUUGAGCUUGGUCAAGUCAGUUGGACUUUGUGGUCUGCGAGGCACUUAGCAAGUGUUGUAGGCCAUAGAGUUCUUCGGGCUGGCUCACCUGUGCACUUUCUCAGAGUGGUCACCACGACCGGCAUUGCUGUCUGGCUGGUGGGGUUAAACCGGUUUUGCAUGGUCCUUGUGGCUCUGCUUGAUCGGGACGGCAGGUAGCUCGUUGGCCAGCUCAUGGUUCGCUGUGGGCGUGGUUUUCGAGUGUAAUCAGCUGACCACAUCGGUUCUGUGCAGUAUGUUGGAGACGGCGGCUAGUGCGCGUGCGUUCAUAGUUGGUCGGCGUGUCCGAGUUUGGUUGUUACGUUGCCUGUGUGUGCAGGCCUGAUGAUGACUCGGAUUCGUUCGGCUGACUGUUGCGUACGAGUACAAUAUGGGGCCCAUAGUCUGUGGUGUAGUGGUAACUAUCCACCUGACCCGUCUUGAAACACGGACCAAGGAGAGUAACAUGUGCGCGAGUCAUUGGGUAUUACGAAGCCCAAAGGCGCAGCGAAAGUAAAGGUUUGGCUUGUCCAGACUGAGGUGAGAUCUUGUCGUUUCCUUUGCGGUACUACCAAGCAUCGAGCGAUGAGCGCAUCACCGGCCCGUCCCAUGACAAUUGUUUCUCGACAGUACUCAGUCGGGGCGGAGCAUGAGCGUACAUGUUGAGACCCGAAAGAUGGUGAACUAUGCUUGCGCAGGUUGAAGCCAGAGGAAACUCUGGUGGAGGACCGAAGCGGUUCUGACGUGCAAAUCGAUCGCCAGACGUGAGUAUGGGGGCGAAAGACUAAUCGAACUAUCUAGUAGCUGGUUCCCUCCGAAGUUUC
rnacentral:rRNA from 1 species